rnacentral:rRNA from 1 species
AUUGAACGCUGGCGGCAGGCCUAACACAUGCAAGUCGAACGAGUGGCGGACGGGUGAGUAAUGUCUGGGAAACUGCCUGAUGGAGGGGGAUAACUACUGGAAACGGUAGCUACUACCGCAUACCAUCAGAUGUGCCCAAGUGGGAUUAGCUUGUUGGUGGGGUAACGGCUAACCAAGGAGACGAUCCCUAGCUGGUCUGAGAGGAUGACCAGCCACACGGGAACUGGGACACGGUCCAGACUCCGACGGGAGGCAGCAGUGGGGAAUAUUGCACAAUGGGGGCAAGCCUGAUACAGCCAUGCCGCGUGUAGGAAGAAGGCCUUCGGGUUGUAAAGUACUUUCAGGAGUGAGGCGUUACCCGCAGAAGAAGCACCGGCUAACUCCGUGCCAGCAGCCGCGGUAAUUC